rnacentral:rRNA from 1 species
AUGGCGGUGCUAGCCAAGUGCCUCCUUCUGUUCUCUCUCUCCGCGGCGCUCUUCUCUCUGCUCGGCACCGGCGCCUCCGCCAUGGGCCUGCCCCAGCCUCAUGUGCCGGUGAACUUCACCAUCGGCGUGCAGGGCAUGGUCUGGUGCAAGACCUGCAGGUACAUCGGCUACAACGCCGCCAUGGACGCCUCCCCGCUCCAAGGCGCGGAGGUGUACCUGCAGUGCCGGCACGGCCCGCGGCGGCUGAAGAAGUUGCCAGGGACAUCGGGGCAGGGCGGCUACUUCGUCAUCCAGUCGGCGCACAUGGCGUCCUUCACCAACGACGAGUGCAUGGUGUACGCAGAGAGCUCAUCGUCGACCGCGUGUGGCCUAGUCGACGAACCCGCCGCCGGCGAGGGGCUGCCGCUCAAGUUCGACUCCUUCGUCAAGCACGGCGACGGCCUGCAGGCCCUCUACUCCGUCGGCAACUUUUUCUUCCGCCCCAGCAACCCCAACAAGUGCUAG